rnacentral:rRNA from 1 species
AUGUUUGUUGUGAGUUGUUCGUGUAUGCAUCUAUUGGAUGUGGUUGCCACCCGGUGUUCGUUGCCAUUCCAUUCGUACUUGAGAGAGAUAAUGGACGAUGGGGUCAUGCUCGGAGGAGUUGAGCUCGAAUUUGAUGUGCCCGGAAGCGAUUCCGGGAGCAUGAGGAGGUUUUUUUGGGCUCAAGAUGGUGUGGAUUUUUUCUCUCUUUACGAGAAGGCUGCUUUCCAGGCCAUUUGCUUCUUACAGAAUUUGUAUGGGUUUGUGAUUCUGGACUAUAAUUUUGAGUGUAUGUCGACUUACAGGGAGCUUGCUCGCUCUGUAGUUCUUUUAGCUGCAAUGAUGCUUAGGUCUGCGAUGCCUGUUGGUUGUGCCGAUGCCCUUGCUGCUGUGAUUGACCAUGAUGUCCUUUUGCAGCGGCAGAUGUUGCACGCCAGAUUGGUCUCGACGGCGUGCAAUAUUUAG